rnacentral:lncRNA from 1 species
UGAGGCUAGAGUGCAGUAGUGUGAUCCUAGCUCACUGCGGCCUCAGACUCCUGCCUCAGCUUCCCCAGUAGCUAGGACUAAACUGGUAUGCACCACUGCACCUAGCUAAUUUAAUAUUUUUGUAGAGAUGGGAUCUUUCUAUGUUGCCCAGGCUAGUCUUGAACUCCUGGCCUCAAGUGACCGUCCCUGUUCAGCAUCGCAAAGUGCUGAGAUUAUAGACAUGAGCCACUAUGCCUCACUUUUAUUGGAAGAUACUUAGGGAGGAAAAGGAAGGAACCUCUUAAUUUCCUAUUGCUGUCUCUUCUCUUAUCUCCCCCAUUUGCUGCUUCUCUAGGAUUUAGAAAAGAACCAAGUAGAGAUUUGCCUUAAACAAUUGGCUUGUUUUUCUUUCAUUUAUUAAGGAAUAGGAGGGAGGUUGUGAUGAUGGUGGGAGGAGUGAAAUGCGAAGAAAAUUAACCUUUGUUGCAUCCCUACUGGAUGUCAGACCUUUUGCAUAUACUCUGUUAUUUUGGUCUUAUAUCACCUAUGCAAAGUAAGCAUUCAUUCCAUCAUCCAUUGAUUCACUGAGUGCUUAUUAUGUUCCAGGCAGCAUUCUAGGGACUGAUCAUUAAUAUCUCCAAUUGAAGAUGAAGAAAAAUAUCUGAGAGAGACUAAAACACUUGCUCCAAGUCGUGCAGUUAUUAAGUGGAGAAACAGAAUUCAAGUCCAGGACAGGUCCAUUGGCCCUGAUGAUUUGUUCUCUGCAGGCAGAUUUCCUCUGUGAUGUGCUUUUAUAUCCAGUUCACCCUUGCACUGGAGAUAUAGCCUUCUGGAGUACCAACUGCAUAUGGAGUUUGCUGUUCAAUUCUGCAUCUUGUUGGAGAUAGGAUUAAUCUUUGGCUCACUGUUUCUGUCAUAACAUCAGAACGGAUGGUCAGGGACACUAAGCUCAGCAGAUGCCUCCAGGUGAAAGUCAGGUGUGUUGGUGAAUACUUACCUAUUCUUAUGCAAUGUUCUUUGACUUUACUUUUUGGCUUCUGAUUAUUGAUUCGUUUCUUGCCAGCUGAGGGAAGAACUGAUAAUGCAUUAAUAUUUGUUUUCUAGAAUUUUAAUUAUUUUCAGUGAGCAUAACAUCUGGGGGAUCUAGGAUAUCACAUACAUAGACCCAGAAGCCUAAGCAUAUUUUCUUAGUGUAGUACUUAGAUAAUUUUUAUAGAUAAUUUGAAUGGCAGUCUGACUACCUUCUUGGGAUGGAAGAGGGAAACAUACAUAAGAACAGAACAUAAAUUUGUAUGUCAAAACUUAUUUGGCCUUGAGAACAAUUGUAAAAUGAAUGAGAAAAUGGUACAAGAGAGCAAUAUAAGGCUUAGAAAUUUGAGAGUAAGUGUACUUUAUCCAAAAACAUAAAUAAAAUAAAGGCUAG